AAACGUCACACGAGUGUAUUACUUUCCGAAUGACACCCAAUCAAGAUCUCGGACUGAUACUAUUCCGUAAGUCGGAGAGGAAAAAGUGGUAAAGUAACAAAAACCUAGAAUUUGCAAAUAGUGGACGAAAACACAAACCCCACAAUAGAUAGAACUAAAGAAGGCAGGAAAACGGGACUAAAAACAAAAUGAAAGAACCUGGCAAACGAAGUUUAAUGCAAAGGUUCAAAAUGAAUAAAAUCUUUUCCCUAAAGGAUAAAUAAUAAAUAUUCAAAAGGAAGAUGUAGGAAAGUGCUAAAAGUACAACGAUUUAAAAAGUCCACGACGACCUUUUUUUGUUUGAGUGAGUAAUAAGAAAGAGAAAAUUAAAAAGGAAUAACGACGAGAAAACCGGAAAUCGCACCAAAGGAUACACUAGGAAAGAAAAGUGUGAUGAUGAUACGAGAAAUUAUGAUGAAGGAAUGAGGGAAUCACUGAAAAAAGAAAUUAAGCCAAAUCACAGUGUUGGAUCGUAAAAUAUGUUUUUGGAUUCAACUAAUGCGAAAACGCUCUCUAACCGAAAGAGUGUUAGUGUUUUCUUUUUUGGGGUAUUUUUCAAAGAGCUAAGAAAAAGGGAGCAAUCACAAGAAAGGAAAAUGCAAAAUUCCUCGCUUGGAUGGAUUAAGAUUUAAAUAAAAGUAAGGAAGAUGAUUAGGGAUUCCAAAAAACGGAAUUUUUUGUUUUGAAACAAUGAACAGAUCAAGGAAAGUUGUUUGAUUGCGAUGGUGGUGAAAAUGCCUGUGCACCAGCACCAC